UACGUAGGGUGCGAGCGUUGCCCGGAUUUAUUGGGCGUAAAGGGCGCGUAGGCGGUCACGCACGUCCGUUGUGAAAUCGCUCGGCUCAACUGGGCGGGGUCAGCGGAUACGGCGUGGCUGGAGCAAGCUAGGGGGCAAUGGAAUUCCCGGUGUAGUGGUGGAAUGCGUAGAUAUCGGGAGGAACACCAGUGGCGAAGGCGGUUGCCUGGAGCUUUGCUGACGCUGAUGCGCGAAAGCGUGGGGAGCGAGUCGG
rnacentral:rRNA from 1 species